rnacentral:rRNA from 1 species
UACGGAGGGGGCAAGCGUUAUUCGGAAUUAUUGGGCGUAAAGGGCGCGUAGGCGGCUUGAUGUGUCAAAGGUGAAAUCCCUCGGCUCAACUGAGGAACUGCCUUUGAAACUGUCUGGCUUGAGGCCGGGAGAGGGUAGCGGAAUUCCCAGUGUAGCGGUGAAAUGCGUAGAUACUGGGAGGAACACCGGUGGCGAAGGCGGCUACCUGGACCGGUUCUGACGCUGAUGCGCGAAAGCGUGGGUAGCAAACAGG